AGCAUGUGGUUUAAUUCGAAGCAACGCGAAGAACCUUACCAGGUCUUGACAUCCCGAUGCUAUUUCUAGAGAUAGAAAGUUACUUCGGUACAUCGGUGACAGGUGGUGCAUGGUUGUCGUCAGCUCGUGUCGUGAGAUGUUGGGUUAAGUCCCGCAACGAGCGCAACCCCUAUUGUUAGUUGCCAUCAUUCAGUUGGGCACUCUAGCGAGACUGCCGGUAAUAAACCGGAGGAAGGUGGGGAUGACGUCAAAUCAUCAUGCCCCUUAUGACCUGGGCUACACACGUGCUACAAUGGUUGGUACAACGAGUUGCGAGUCGGUGACGGCGAGCUAAUCUCUUAAAGCCAAUCUCAGUUCGGAUUGUAGGCUGCAACUCGCCUACAUGAAGUCGGAAUCGCUAGUAAUCGCGGAUCAGCACGCCCGCGGUCGAAUACGUUCCCGGGCCUU
rnacentral:rRNA from 1 species